CACGGGGGGAGCAAGCGUUGUUCGGAUUCAUUGGGCGUAAAGGGCUCGUAGGUGGCUUUGUAAGUCGGAGGUGAAAACCCGCGGCUCAACUGUGGGCGGGCAGCUGAUACGGGCAGGCUGGAGUUCGGUAGGGGAGACUGGAAUUCCUGGUGUAGCGGUGAAAUGCGCAGAUAUCAGGAGGAACACCGGUGGCGAAGGCGGGUCUCUGGGCCGAUACUGACGCUGAGGAGCGAAAGCGUGGGGAGCGAACAGG
rnacentral:rRNA from 1 species